rnacentral:rRNA from 1 species
UACGGAGGGUGCGAGCGUUGUCCGGAAUCAUUGGGCGUAAAGGGCGCGUAGGUGGCCCGGUCAGUUCGUGGUGAAAGCGCGGGGCUCAACCCUGCGUCGGCCAUGAAUACUGCCGCGGCUGGAGCACUGUAGAGGCAGGCGGAAUUCCGGGUGUAGCGGUGGAAUGCGUAGAUAUCCGGAAGAACACCGGUGGCGAAGGCGGCCUGCUGGGCAGUUGCUGACACUGAGGCGCGACAGCGUGGGGAGCAAACAGG